rnacentral:rRNA from 1 species
UACGGAGGGUGCGAGCGUUGUCCGGAUUCAUUGGGCUUAAAGGGUACGUAGGCGGCGGCCUAAGUCAGCGGUGAAAGGCCCCGGCUCAACCGGGGGAGCGCCGUUGAUACUGGGUCGCUUGAGUGCCGCGUGGGUGGGCGGAAUUCCUCAUGUAGCGGUGAAAUGCAUAGAUAUGAGGAGGAACCCCGAUAGCGAAGGCAGCCCACUGCACGGUUACUGACGCUGAGGUACGAAAGCGUGGGGAUCGAACAGG